GGAGCAACGCCGCGUGAGUGAUGAAGGUUUUCGGAUCGUAAAGCUCUGUUGUUAGGGAAGAACAAGUACCGUUCGAAUAGGGCGGUACCUUGACGGUACCUAACCAGAAAGCCACGGCUAACUACGUGCCAGCAGCCGCGGUAAUACGUAGGUGGCAAGCGUUGUCCGGAAUUAUUGGGCGUAAAGGGCUCGCAGGCGGUUUCUUAAGUCUGAUGUGAAAGCCCCCGGCUCAACCGGGGAGGGUCAUUGGAAACUGGGGAACUUGAGUGCAGAAGAGGAGAGUGGAAUUCCACGUGUAGCGGUGAAAUGCGUAGAGAUGUGGAGGAACACCAGUGGCGAAGGCGACUCUCUGGUCUGUAACUGACGCUGAGGAGCGAAAGCGUGGGGAGCGAACAGGAUUAGAUACCCUGGUAGUCCACGCCGUAAACGAUGAGUGCUAAGUGUUAGGGGGUUUCCGCCCCUUAGUGCUGCAGCUAACGCAUUAAGCACUCCGCCUGGGGAGUACGGUCGCAAGACUGAAACUCAAAGGAAUUGACGGGGGCCCGCACAAGCGGUGGAGCAUGUGGUUUAAUUCGAAGCAACGCGAAGAACCUUACCAGGUCUUGACAUCCUCUGACAAUCCUAGAGAUAGGACGUCCCCUUCGGGGGCAGAGUGACAGGUGGUGCAUGGUUGUCGUCAGCUCGUGUCGUGAGAUGUUGGGUUAAGUCCCGCAACGAGCGCAACCCUUGAUCUUAGUUGCCAGCAUUCAGUUGGGCACUCUAAGGUGACUGCCGGUGACAAACCGGGAGGAAGGUGGGGAUGACGUCAAAUCAUCAUGCCCCUUAUGACCUGGGCUA
rnacentral:rRNA from 1 species